UACGUAGGGAGCAAGCGUUGUCCGGAGUCAUUGGGCGUAAAGCGCGCGUAGGUGGCCCCGUAAGUCCGCUGUGAAAGUCAAAGGCUCAACCUUUGAAAGCCGGUGGAUACUGUGGGACUAGAGUACGGAAGAGGCGAGUGGAAUUCCUGGUGUAGCGGUGGAAUGCGCAGAUAUCAGGAGGAACACCAAUAGCGAAGGCAGCUCGCUGGGACGUUACUGACACUGAGGCGCGAAAGCGUGGGGAGCGAACAGG
rnacentral:rRNA from 1 species